CAGCAGCCACGGUAAUACGGAGGGCGCGAGCGUUACCCGGAUUUACUGGGCGUAAAGGGCGUGUAGGCGGCCUGGGGCGUCCCAUGUGAAAGGCCACGGCUCAACCGUGGAGGAGCGUGGGAUACGCUCAGGCUAGAGGGUGGGAGAGGGUGGUGGAAUUCCCGGAGUAGCGGUGAAAUGCGCAGAUACCGGGAGGAACGCCGAUGGCGAAGGCAGCCACCUGGUCCACUUCUGACGCUGAGGCGCGAAAGCGUGGGGAGCAAACCGGAUUAGAGACCCCAGUAGUCCCUGUCUCUUAUAC
rnacentral:rRNA from 1 species